ACGAACGCUGGCGGCGUGCCUAAUACAUGCAAGUCGAACGCUUCUUUUUCCACCGGAGCUUGCUCCACCGGAAAAAGAGGAGUGGCGAACGGGUGAGUAACACGUGGGUAACCUGCCCAUCAGAAGGGGAUAACACUUGGAAACAGGUGCUAAUACCGUAUAACAAUCGAAACCGCAUGGUUUUGAUUUGAAAGGCGCUUUCGGGUGUCGCUGAUGGAUGGACCCGCGGUGCAUUAGCUAGUUGGUGAGGUAACGGCUCACCAAGGCGACGAUGCAUAGCCGACCUGAGAGGGUGAUCGGCCACAUUGGGACUGAGACACGGCCCAAACUCCUACGGGAGGCAGCAGUAGGGAAUCUUCGGCAAUGGACGAAAGUCUGACCGAGCAACGCCGCGUGAGUGAAGAAGGUUUUCGGAUCGUAAAACUCUGUUGUUAGAGAAGAACAAGGAUGAGAGUAACUGUUCAUCCCUUGACGGUAUCUAACCAGAAAGCCACGGCUAACUACGUGCCAGCAGCCGCGGUAAUACGUAGGUGGCAAGCGUUGUCCGGAUUUAUUGGGCGUAAAGCGAGCGCAGGCGGUUUCUUAAGUCUGAUGUGAAAGCCCCCGGCUCAACCGGGGAGGGUCAUUGGAAACUGGGAGACUUGAGUGCAGAAGAGGAGAGUGGAAUUCCAUGUGUAGCGGUGAAAUGCGUAGAUAUAUGGAGGAACACCAGUGGCGAAGGCGGCUCUCUGGUCUGUAACUGACGCUGAGGCUCGAAAGCGUGGGGAGCAAACAGGAUUAGAUACCCUGGUAGUCCACGCCGUAAACGAUGAGUGCUAAGUGUUGGAGGGUUUCCGCCCUUCAGUGCUGCAGCUAACGCAUUAAGCACUCCGCCUGGGGAGUACGACCGCAAGGUUGAAACUCAAAGGAAUUGACGGGGGCCCGCACAAGCGGUGGAGCAUGUGGUUUAAUUCGAAGCAACGUGAAGAACCUUACCAGGUCUUGACAUCCUUUGACCACUCUAGAGAUAGAGCUUCCCCUUCGGGGGCAAAGUGACAGGUGGUGCAUGGUUGUCGUCAGCUCGUGUCGUGAGAUGUUGGGUUAAGUCCCGCAACGAGCGCAACCCUUAUUGUUAGUUGCCAUCAUUUAGUUGGGCACUCUAGCAAGACUGCCGGUGACAAACCGGAGGAAGGUGGGGAUGACGUCAAAUCAUCAUGCCCCUUAUGACCUGGGCUACACACGUGCUACAAUGGGAAGUACAACGAGUCGCAAAGUCGCGAGGCUAAGCUAAUCUCUUAAAGCUUCUCUCAGUUCGGAUUGUAGGCUGCAACUCGCCUACAUGAAGCCGGAAUCGCUAGUAAUCGCGGAUCAGCACGCCGCGGUGAAUACGUUCCCGGGCCUUGUACACACCGCCCGUCACACCACGAGAGUUUGUAACACCCGAAGUCGGUGAGGUAACCUUUUGGAGCCAGCCGCCUAAGGUGGGAUAGAUGAUUGGGGUG
rnacentral:rRNA from 1 species